UAUAUUCAUAUUAUGCGAUGGUUAGAAUUCAACUAAACCCUGACCUGCCCUGAUUAAACCGGUAACGCCGCUACAUUGACAGGUGUUACCCGCUCAUAAAGGAAUUUUUAGGUUAGCCACCGUUUCGCGCGCAUUUUGGCAGUCAACCUUCUGGUUGAUUUCUAUUUUGUGAAGUGAACUAUAAACGUAAACGUGCUUCAUCCAAACUAUUUUAAUAAAAAAUGAUUAAAACACUGAGAUAACGUAAAGAUAAGUGAUGCAAAUAAUUAUUUUAAGGAUAGAAUCGGUAAAAUAGUUCUUGUUAUGUUUGUGUUUUCAGUAUCUAUUUUAAGGUGAGUGAAUUUAAAACCAUGAGACCUCGAAAAAAAAAAGGUUACACUAAAAAAUAUUUUAAAAUUCAGCCAAAAAAAAAGGAGCCAAAAUCUUAUUAAGUCAAUGUUACGCAAAUAUGACUUCAAUAUUGUACAUUAAACUGGAUUCAGACCAAAGUGAUUUUUUAUUAUCCUCUGUACAUCAUCAAAGUAGGUAGUAGUAUCUCUGGUAGUAUCAUUGAAGAUUUCUGUUCUGAUAAGUGUAGUUCCAGUGCUGAAAUUUCUUACAAUAUAGUAUUUAUAUAGGUAUUUAUGUAGGCUCUUCUAUAAUCAUUUAUUGUGUAUUUUUUAAGAGAAAGGUAUUUUUUAGAAUUAUUAGGUUCGAGAAUUAUCUAGACUUGGCGGUUCAGGAGUAGCACAAAGUACAAGGAAAAUGCUUUAUAAGGUUCUGGGCAAUGAAAUUGCACAAAAAUAUUCUUAGGAUGGGGCCAAACAGAAGAGAAGUUUGAAAUCAUUGUUAGUGGCCAAAAGCAAUUUUAGACUCCAUGAAAGGUCAAUUUCAAGAGUCAAAAGAAACCGAAAUUAUCAAUAUAAUUAAAAUAUGGCUUGUAAAAACAAAAGAAAGAUUAAAAAUACCAAGAAGGGUAGACAAGAGAAUAUAGAAACAUAGACAUAGAAGAUAAUAUCAAUGUAUAUCGUUAUAUUAAAAUAUUUUUAAUUAAUAAACAUAUAUUACUCAAGUUCGUCUUUAUCCUUACCUAUUAUUUUUAACCGUUCUAUUUAUUAGUUAAUUUUUGAUUAUUACACACCAAAUUAUUUAAUUUCAGCAAAUUGUUUGUAGUGUGUUCCAGAUAUGAAUGUACUGUAUAGGUAUCCUAUAGAUUUUAAGAGAUAAAAAAAUUGCUAAAUAUGAAAAAAAUUGUAUCUAUAUCUAUAGUUUAUAGGAUAUUGAUACAGGGCAUCCUUAUACAGGACACCCAGUAGAUACAGAGUUGAGGGUUGGAAUCUUUGGUGUUACAACAGCAAAUUAAAACACUAAUUCACCACAAUAUACCAAAACACUUUACUUUUGAACUGGACGCUUGUUUGGUUAAUCAU